UAACCCUCGCCAUCCUCCUGCAGGAGAGCAUCCCCUUCGCUGUCAUCGGCAGCAACACGGUCGUGGAGGCCAAGGGCCGGCGCGUCCGCGGGCGCCUCUACCCCUGGGGCAUCGUGGAAGGUAACGGCAUGGGGGGACCUGUCCCUGCAGGGACGGGGACACAGAGUCAUAGAAUCAUAGAAUAUCCCGAGUUGGAAUGGACCCGUAAGGAUCAUCAAGUCCAACUCCUGGCACCGCACAGUGGAGAACCCGUCCCACUGCGACUUCGUGAAGCUGCGCACCAUGCUGGUGAGGACACACAUGCAGGACCUGAAGGACGUGACGCGGGAGACCCACUACGAGAACUACCGCACGCAGUGCAUCCAGAGCAUGACCCGCAUGGUGGUGAAGGAGAGGAACCGCAAGUACGGGGCUGGCAGUGGGGCUGGGCUGUGGGGAAGGGAUGGGGCAGCCUCUCUUCUCCCUGCGGUGGCAUUGGGGUGGCCCUUUCCUUGCUGGCUGGAGGGGUUGGUGGGGACCCUUUGUCCCCACGGGCUCUGGGGCCAGAGCAGAGCAAGCAGCUGGUGCCAAGGCUCUGCCCUCAAUGCCCACCAGACUCGUGGUACUUGCAUCCCCUUCAGAAUCCCCAGAAUUCCAGGGGUGACCCCAAAAAGCAGAUUCCCCACGGAGCUGGCUGCAGAGCCCUCUCCGGCGCAGUGCGGGGGCUUGGCGGGUGGCUUGUCCUUGGCUGGGGGGGUGGUCAUGGGUGGCAGUCGGGGAUGGCUGGCGGUGACAAUGGGUGCCCUAAGCUCAUCUCUCCAUGCAUGCUGUGGGAGAAGGAGGCAGCCCUCCACGCUGCGGCUGUGCUGCGCCGACUGCUCUGCAGACUGAGCCAGGGACGUGCUCGUCCCCUGCUGCCACCGCUGCCUGCGUCCCCUGGCCCCUCUAUAAAGUGCUUGCUGGUACCCAAUGCUGUCUUGGUCCUUCUGUGCCUGCAAGGGCCCUGCAGGAAAGUACCUGGGGGGCUCCUGGGGACAGCCAGCCCCAGACCACCUGCCCAUUGCCCAGAUCAGCAUCUAGUUGCCCACUGUCAAGCUUCCCAUGGCAGGGGCAUGGUGCUGGCAGUGCCCACAGCACUGGGAGGAUGCAGUUCCCCUGCAGAUCUGUGUCACUGGGGCCACCCAUCUCACCCAGGCAUGGUGGGGUUGCAGGGACCCUGCCCGGCACUGUCACCCAAGCACCCACCUCCAGCAGUGCCCAAGGGGUCUGCAGGCACUCGUGUUUGCCAUGGCCCCGCUGUGUCCCCAUCUGGUGGCACCCAGCUUUCCCAGCCAAAGGGAGGCAACCCCAAACUGGAGUGA
rnacentral:lncRNA from 1 species